rnacentral:ribozyme from 1 species
UGUUACACGAAAAAGGUCAAUACAUGGAAGCAUUGGAAAGACAUCGAGAAGCUCUCAAUCGUUUAAAUGAUAUUUAUUUUGAAGGAGAUCAU